ensembl:lncRNA
ACAGCUGGAACUAUGCAGUGGGACUAGAUAUGUUUGUAAGUGCUCACAGAAGGAGAAUUGUUUAAAAAAUGGAAGAAGAAGCUGUAUUAUAUUGCAUACGACUUGUCAAGAUCCAUUUUUAGAGCAUCUGUCAAAAGCUCCACAUUAUUUCAUAGAACCAGGGGAAACGUAGAAGAAUGUACUCUCUUGUGAAUCACUGGCCAUGGGACCUCACUCCUUAGAGACAUCUGUCCACUGAGACCUCACUUUACUGUUGCAGUGACUAAGUAGGAAAUAGGAACCUCAAGAACUGGAUUUUGCCUGAUUUGAUCCAUAAUUUUCUCCAACAGUACCAUAGGAGCAGUCUUUCUCCCUCCAUAAUCUGAUGGUCAAGAUCCUUAGUCUCACUGAAGGUACUUGCCACGGUGUGAAACCUUCAUCAGAUAUAAAUGAAUCAGAAUUUGUUUAGCUGAACAAAAGAUUCUAAUGUUGAGCAACUGAGCAUCUCAAGAUUAAAUUAUAAUAUUGCUCCAGCCUGCUUUUUUCUCUAUUAUGGUUCUGAGUGCUUCAUUACUUUAUUAAUUUCUCCUGCAAAGAAGAAAGUGUGUAUUUGCUUUGUGCUACGUUAAGAUGAAUCUUAUUACAUACUUCUUGUCUUUGUCAACUACAGCAUACCUGAGUGGGGAAAGAGAAACCCCAUGGUAAUAAUCUCUGGCAUGGUAAGUAACAGGUGCACCAUGCAGAUAGCUGGAAUUCUUUAAGCAAAAUCUAUAUUUUAACAAGAUACAUUUCUCUGGUUGCAGACACAUUGUAAUGAUUUUUUUUUUCCAAGGAGAAAUGUUUUUUUUUAUAAUUUAUAGUGGCUACAAACAUUUUUCUGCCAACCCCCUUUAUCCUGCUUUCUAUAUUUCAUGUACUAUUUUCUUCACAAGAACAAUGGCAUAGAUCACCUUUGUCUGAACAUUAUUUUGUACAGCAUUCUUAAAUUCAGUUUAAUUUGCUUCUUUUGAGUUCAGACCCUUUGUGUUAUGUUUCUGGAGAUACUCUCCCUGUUCUAAUGGCAGUCAGAUGAGUCACACUGUUUUUAGUUUAUUUUAUGCUGUUUUUUUUUUAUUAUUAUUAUUUUUUUAAUGGAGAUACUGCAUGUCUUGAUUUAAUCUUAUGUAUCUCAGUGGAGCUACUAAAAUGUGCAAGCUGAACUUAUCCUACUAAUGAGAAUGCACUAUGUUCUCAUUUGGCUUUGAUUUAAGAUGUAUCAGUAUCUAUUAACUGUGCUUUCCAGUAUGAGGAAUAUUUUUGUGUUUCAUAAUUUUUGAAAAAUACAAUUUAACCAGCAGAAACUCAGACUGGAUAUUUUUUCCCCCUUCCGCCUUAAGUAACUCUACUCUUUCCAAAAAAGCCUUGUCUUGGCCAUCCAAAGAUAUCCUUACAGCUGCUUCAUGGUGAAGCUCUACCACCCUAAUAUGUGUAUAUAUAGAUAGGAACUUGGAAUUUGUCUAGGGGGAGGAAGAACAUGACCAACACAAUUUCAAAGUUUGCUUUCUGACAUGUCUUGAAAAUUGCUUAAAUAUGGCCACUUUAUCAGGCUUAGAAAAGCUACACUGCGCAUAAUUUAUGGAAUGAAAUCUUAAAAUUUGCUAGCUUAUUUCCUUGGGGAUGUUGUUUUCACCAAAGGAGGGCACUGUAAUUAAGACUAGAAGUUAUGUUUUGGGAGAGAAGAGAGUCUGGAAAAGACAGAGAAGAGAGGAGAAUCAGAGAAGUGACAGAGAUGGAGGAACGGAUGUUAGCAAGCAAUUGGAUGAAAAGCAUGAGGGAGGCAAAGUGAACGAUCUUAUCACUGCUGGAAUAAAUGCCUUCCACAAC